UCAGUCGGCUGGAUGGCCGCUUCGGGUGUCGUUUACGACGGCCCGGGGAGGAAAGUCCGGGCUCCACGGAAGGACGGUGCCGGAUAACGUCCGGCGGGGGCGACCCCAGGGAAAGUGCCACAGAAAGCAAACCGCCCGCGCCGGCGGGGCCUCGUGCCCUGGCUCGCGCGGGUAAGGGUGAAAGGGUGCGGUAAGAGCGCACCGCGGGCCCGGCGACGGGACCGGCACGGUAAACCCCACCGGGAGCAAGACCAAGAGUACGGCACGCGCCACAGCCGUGGCGCACGGUGCGUUCCGAGCCGCCGUAGUGGUAGGUUGCUAGAGGCGUCCGGCAACGGGCGUCCCAGAUGAAUGGCCAUCCAUCGCCCCUCGCGGGCGGGGACAGAACCCGGCUUACAGGCCGACUGACGCU
rnacentral:RNase_P_RNA from 2 species